GUACCUACGGGGCGCAGCAGUCGGGAAUAUUGCGCAAUGGAGGAAACUCUGACGCAGUGACGCCGCGUAUAGGAAGAAGGUUUUCGGAUUGUAAACUAUUGUCGUGAGGGAAGAAGAUGACAGUACCUCAGGAGGAAGCUCCGGCUAACUAUGUGCCAGCAGCCGCGGUAAUACAUAGGGAGCAAGCGUUAUCCGGAAUGAUUGGGCGUAAAGGGGGCGUAGGCGGCCUGCUAAGUCUGGAGUGAAAGGUACCGGCUCAACCGGAACAGGCUGUGGAAAAUGGCG
rnacentral:rRNA from 1 species